GACGAACGCUGGCGGCGUGCUUAACACAUGCAAGUCGAACGGAAAGGCCCUGCUUGCAGGGUACUCGAGUGGCGAACGGGUGAGUAACACGUGGGUGAUCUGCCCUGCACUUCGGGAUAAGCUUGGGAGACUGGGUCUAAUACCGGAUAGGAGCCAUCUUUAGUGUGGUGGUUGGAAAGUUUUUUCGGUGUAGGAUGAGCUCGCGGCCUAUCAGCUUGUUGGUGGGGUAAUGGCCUACCAAGGCGGCGACGGGUAGCCGGCCUGAGAGGGUGUACGGCCACAUUGGGACUGAGAUACGGCCCAGACUCCUACGGGAGGCAGCAGUGGGGAAUAUUGCACAAUGGGCGCAAGCCUGAUGCAGCGACGCCGCGUGGGGGAUGAAGGCCUUCGGGUUGUAAACUCCUUUCGCUAGGGACGAAGCUUUUUUGUGACGGUACCUAGAUAAGAAGCACCGGCUAACUACGUG
rnacentral:rRNA from 1 species